CACCCCUGGUAGUGAACAAAGAGAUACCUUGUUAGUGGUAUGGUUCUUAUGUCAGCUAGGGCCAGAGCACAUGGCAGUCCUUUGUUCAUCCUAGCUUAAUGCUUAUCUUGAUGGCCAAAGCUGUCUUAUGCCUGGGACUCAUAA